rnacentral:tRNA from 1 species
GCCUGGGUGGCUCAGUCGGUUGAGCGUCUGACUUCUGCUCAGUUCAGGAUCUCGCUGUUUGUGAGUUCAAGCCCCGCGUCCGGCU